CAGAACGUCGUGAGACAGUUCGGUCCCUAUCUGCCGUGGGCGUUGGAGAGUUGAGAGGAGUCGUCCCUAGUACGAGAGGACCGGGAUGAACGGACCUCUGGUGUACCAGUUGUCCUGCCAAGGGCACCGCUGGUUAGCUACGUCCGGAUGGGAUAACCGCUGAAAGCAUCUAAGCGGGAAGCCCACCUCGAGAUGAGCUCUCCCAUCCCCUUGAGGGAGUAAGAGCCCUGGAAGACCACCAGGUCGAUAGGCCGGCGGUAUAAGUGCAGCAAUGCGCUCAGCUGACCGGUACUAAUGCUUCGAGGGCUUGACGG
rnacentral:rRNA from 1 species